CAUUAUGAACGCUAGCUACAGGCUUAACACAUGCAAGUCGAGGGGCAUCAGGAAGAAAGCUUGCUUUCUUUGCUGGCGACCGGCGCACGGGUGAGUAACACGUAUCCAACCUGCCCUUUACUCGGGGAUAGCCUUUCGAGAGAAAGAUUAAUACCCGAUAGCAUAAUGAUUCCGCAUGGUUUCAUUAUUAAAGGAUUCCGGUAAAGGAUGGGGAUGCGUUCCAUUAGGUUGUUGGUGAGGUAACGGCCCGCCAAGCCUUCGAUGGAUAGGGGUUCUGAGAGGAAGGUCCCCCACAUUGGAACUGAGACACGGUCCAAACUCCUACGGGAGGCAGCAAUGAGGAAUAUUGGUCAAUGGGCGCUAGCCUGAACCAGCCAAGUAGCGUGAAGGAUGAAGGCUCUAUGGGUCGUAAACUUCUUUUAUAUAAGAAUAAAGUGCAGUAUGUAUACUGUUUUGUAUGUAUUAUAUGAAUAAGGAUCGGCUAACUCCGUGCCAGCAGCCGCGGUAAUACGGAGGAUCCGAGCGUUAUCCGGAUUUAUUGGGUUUAAAGGGAGCGUAGGUGGACUGGUAAGUCAGUUGUGAAAGUUUGCGGCUCAACCGUAAAAUUGCAGUUGAUACUGUCAGUCUUGAGUACAGUAGAGGUGGGCGGAAUUCGUGGUGUAGCGGUGAAAUGCUUAGAUAUCACGAAGAACUCCGAUUGCGAAGGCAGCUCACUGGACUGCAACUGACACUGAUGCUCGAAAGUGUGGGUAUCAAACAGGAUUAGAUACCCUGGUAGUCCACACAGUAAACGAUGAAUACUCGCUGUUUGCGAUAUACAGUAAGCGGCCAAGCGAAAGCAUUAAGUAUUCCACCUGGGGAGUACGCCGGCAACGGUGAAACUCAAAGGAAUUGACGGGGGCCCGCACAAGCGGAGGAACAUGUGGUUUAAUUCGAUGAUACGCGAGGAACCUUACCCGGGCUUAAAUUGCAGUGGAAUGAUGUGGAAACAUGUCAGUGAGCAAUCACCGCUGUGAAGGUGCUGCAUGGUUGUCGUCAGCUCGUGCCGUGAGGUGUCGGCUUAAGUGCCAUAACGAGCGCAACCCUUAUCUUUAGUUACUAACAGGUUAUGCUGAGGACUCUAGAGAGACUGCCGUCGUAAGAUGUGAGGAAGGUGGGGAUGACGUCAAAUCAGCACGGCCCUUACGUCCGGGGCUACACACGUGUUACAAUGGGGGGGUACAGAAGGCAGCUAGCGGGUGACCGUAUGCUAAUCCCAAAAUCCUCUCUCAGUUCGGAUCGAAGUCUGCAACCCGACUUCGUGAAGCUGGAUUCGCUAGUAAUCGCGCAUCAGCCACGGCGCGGUGAAUACGUUCCCGGGCCUUGUACACACCGCCCGUCAAGCCAUGGGAGCCGGGGGUACCUGAAGUACGUAACCGCAAGGAUCGUCCUAGGGUA
rnacentral:rRNA from 1 species